rnacentral:tRNA from 1 species
UCUAAUAUGGCAGAUUAGUGCAAUAAAUUUAAAUUUUAUAAAUAAAAUAAUUAUUAUUUUUAUUAGAA